GCUUUAUUUCGAUAUUUGUUUUAUUGCUGUGGUCUGGAACCAAACCUGCAAUAUCUCCCAAGGCAUGGCUGUAUCUCCUCUUUCUCACUAUACAUUGCUUUCUUUUUUUUUUUUUUUUUUUUUUUUUUGAGAUGGAGUCUUGCUCUGUCACUCAGGCUGGAGUGCAGUGGCGUGAUCUUGGCUCACUGCAAGCUCUGCCACCUGGGUUCACGCCAUUCUCCUGCCUCAGCCUCCCGAGUAGCUGGGACUACAGGCGCCCGCCACCACACCCUGCUAAUUUUUUUGUAUUUUUAGUAGAGACAGGGUUUCACUGUGUUAGCCAGGAUGGUCUUGAUCUCCUGACCUUGUGAUCCGCCCGCCUCAGUCUCCCAAAGUGCUGGGAUUACAGGCAGUGACUGACUGGGGAGGACCUUCAGGAAGCUUUGUCUGGCAUGUGGGCGCUGGAUGGAUAGGAGAGUAGAAAAGUGGACAAGUGAGUACACUGAGGGGGAAGUGACGGAGCUCUGAGGAAGGGGAGUUGCAGGGGAAAUGGACAGGAGGGAAUGACUCCAGUGAGCUGGGGGCACAAGGGAAAGUAGGUGAGGGUGGGGGAGAGAGAUGACAAAGGCCAGUGUUGGAGGAACUGGGAGAACGGAGGCAUUGUUGACACAGGCGGUGGCCAUGUUGUUUGUACUGGGGGCCUGGUGAGCAGAUGCCUCAGCGUGGUUGAAUCUGAGUGUGAGGAGUGAGGCCUGCGGGGGGUGCUCCCCAGUUGGUGCCAGGAUAGCUUCACCUGGAGCCGAGAAUGGGUGAUGUGGUGGUCGCUCAGGCACAUGGAGUUGCUGGAGAAACCAGUUGAGUCUGGAACCUUGGGAAGGGGCAGGAACAGGAGGAAGGAUGGAGAAGGGGCACUCAGGUGGGAGGAAGCCUGGAGAGGAAUCAGUGGCAUCAGAGGCACUGGAUUCUCUGAAAAGAGUCCCUUCGAUUUGGCACUUAGCUAUGCUUUAGCAAAUAUCAGAGGAGCAGGUCUUCUUCUGGAGGAAGAAGUAGGGUUAGUGUGGAAACGUAGCUAUUCCUCAGUGAGCAAUUGUUGGCUGAAUCCUGCUACAUGUCAGACGUUGUGCCAGGUGAUGAAGUGGUCACAAUGAGGAAGAUGGAUGUGGAGAGUUGCUGGGUGGUGCCCAGAAGAUCAGUAAUUGGGAUUUUAACACAUUGUGAUGAGUUUAGAAGGGUGGAAGCUUUGAGGACUAUAGAGACACAAAAAGGCAGAAACUGGAAAAGAGUUUGUAGAGGUUUCUUACCUUCUCAACCAUUCAAGUUCAUAGCCCAUCUUCCCAACUUUGCAUCCAUGGUUCAGUAGCCGAGUCUGUGGUGGGCACCUCAUUGAUCUUUGCUGCUUUAUGGUUUUAUGAACUCUAGCAGCUUCCCCUGCAGACAUUGAGACACCUUGUAGAACCUAGGCAAGACUGCAGUGGUACAGGCAGUGGCCAGAUCACACAUUAUAUAAGAUGAUGCCAAUACGUAUAGUUAUUUAAAUGUGCAGCUAAAAUCGUCCUGAAUGUUGUUGCAUCAUUUCAAAUAUAUGACUUAC
rnacentral:lncRNA from 10 species